GCGAGUAUGGCCCUCACGGGUCUAAUCCACCAUAAACACCUUUGUGAACCAGUCAGGGGGACUCGGCCGUGAAAGCCCAGGCGAUUAGCGGAAGGGCCCUCCUUUGCAAACCCGUUUAGAAGUCUUGAAAGUACUUUUGUAUAAUCUAGUAA
rnacentral:misc_RNA from 1 species